UACGGAGGGGGCUAGCGUUGUUCGGAAUUACUGGGCGUAAAGCGCACGUAGGCGGAUAUUUAAGUCAGAGGUGAAAUCCUGGAGCUCAACUCCAGAACUGCCUUUGAUACUGAAAGUCUUGAGUAUGGGAGAGGUGAGUGGAACUGCGAGUGUAGAGGUGAAAUUCGUAGAUAUUCGCAAGAACACCAGUGGCGAAGGCGGCUCACUGGCCCAUAACUGACGCUGAGGCACGAAAGCGUGGGGAGCAAACAGG
rnacentral:rRNA from 1 species